GCCUACGGGGGGCUGCAGUGGGGAAUAUUGGACAAUGGGCGCAAGCCUGAUCCAGCCAUGCCGCGUGAGUGACGAAGGCCUUAGGGUUGUAAAGCUCUUUUGGCGGGGACGAUAAUGACGGUACCCGCAGAAUAAGCUCCGGCUAACUUCGUGCCAGCAGCCGCGGUAAUACGAAGGGAGCUAGCGUUGUUCGGAAUCACUGGGCGUAAAGCGCACGUAGGCGGAUUUGUUAGUCAGGGGUGAAAUCCCGGGGCUCAACCGCGGAACUGCCUUUGAUACUGCAAGUCUCGAGUCCGGAAGAGGUGGGUGGAAUUCCUAGUGUAGAGGUGAAAUUCGUAGAUAUUAGGAAGAACACCGGUGGCGAAGGCGGCCCACUGGUCCGGUACUGACGCUGAGGUGCGAAAGCGUGGGGAGCAAACAGGAUUAGAUACCCCAGUAGUCCG
rnacentral:rRNA from 1 species